UCUAGAUGGUUUCUUGGAGAAAUUACUCAGACAAGGGUCAGGCUAACUGUGUUACCGUUACAUUCUGUUCUUUUAAGAAAAAAAAAGUUUUUGGGCCGAUAACUUGAGCAUCGCAUUGGUAUUGAAAGUGAUAUGAAGCUUGGAAUAGGCCUGUAGAACCUUCUUUUCCUUACAAUUCCUUCUUAACAUUAACAAGUAGGAGAGUCAUAUUCUGUGGAUAUGGCCCUUAGUUACU
rnacentral:lncRNA from 1 species